UACGGGGGGAGCAAGCGUUGUUCGGAUUUACUGGGCGUAAAGGGCGCGUAGGCGGUCGUGACAAGUCACUUGUGAAAUCUCCGGGCUUAACUCGGAACGGUCAAGUGAUACUGUCGGACUAGAGUACAGAAGGGGCAACUGGAAUUCUCGGUGUAGCGGUGAAAUGCGUAGAUAUCGAGAGGAACACCUGCGGCGAAGGCGGGUUGCUGGGCUGAUACUGACGUGAGGCGCGAAAAGCGUGGGGGAGCGAAACAGGG
rnacentral:rRNA from 1 species